rnacentral:tRNA from 1 species
GCCUCCUUAGCUCAGUGGUAGAGCAACGCACUUGUAAUGCGUAGGUCGUCAGUUCAAUCCUGACAGGGGGCUCUA